UAACUGGGGCGGUUGCCUCCUAAAGAGUAACGGAGGCGCCCAAAGGUUCCCUCAGCCUGGUUGGCAAUCAGGUGUUGAGUGCAAGUGCACAAGGGAGCUUGACUGUGAGACAGACAUGUCGAGCAGGGACGAAAGUCGGGACUAGUGAUCCGGCACCUCCUGGUGGAAGGGGUGUCGCUCAACGGAUAAAAGGUACCCCGGGGAUAACAGGCUGAUCUUGCCCAAGAGUCCAUAUCGACGGCAUGGUUUGGCACCUCGAUGUCGGCUCGUCGCAUCCUGGGGCCGGAGUAGGUCCCAAGGGUUGGGCUGUUCGCCCAUUAAAGCGGCACGCGAGCUGGGUUUAGAACGUCGUGAGACAGUUCGGUCCCUAUCCGCCGCGCGCGUAGGAUACUUGAGGAAGGCUGUCCCUAGUACGAGAGGACCGGGACGGACGAACCUCUGGUGUGCCAGUUGUUCUGCCAAGGGCAUGGCUGGUUGGCCACGUUCGGAAGGGAUAACCGCUGAAGGCAUCUAAGCGGGAAGCCUGUUCCAAGAUGAGGUAUCCCACCCCUUUGUGGGUUAAGGCUCCCAAUAGACCAUUGGGUUGAUAGGCCAGAUAUGGAAGCACAGUAAUGUGUUGUUGAGUUGACUGGUACUAAUAGGCCGAGGACUUGUCUAC
rnacentral:rRNA from 1 species